rnacentral:antisense_RNA from 1 species
AACAUGGUUGUCCAUGCUUCAGUCAUGCCUAUCCAAGAAGUCUUCAUAAAAGGCCCAAGAGGACAGGGUUCAGGAAGUUUUGGAGACCUGAACACAUGGAGGCUGACAGGAAGGCUGGAGUGCAAUGGCGCGAUCUUGGCUCACCGCAACCUCUGCCUCCCGGGUUCAAGCGAUUCUCCUGCCUCAGCCUCCGAGUAGCUGGGAUUACAGGUUGCUGGCAGAGGUGGUUGGGGCUAUGUGCCUGGAGUGAAGAUUCUGCCCAUUGGUCAAGAGACCUCCCUCUCAGAUGCUGGCUCUGCCCCUGCCUUUGGGGGUCGACCCUUGUACU